rnacentral:lncRNA from 1 species
GACCCCGAUUUGGACCAACUUGAAAACUGGGCCAAUAAUAAAAAAUCUAAGUACAUUUUUAGAUUCAGCAUAUCAAAGAACCCCAAGGAUUCAAUUUUUGUCAAAAUCAAACAAAGUUUAAUUUUGGAAACGAAGUUUAAUUUUGGACCCUUUGGACCUUAAUGUAGACCAAUUUGAAAACGGGACCAAAAAUUUUAUGGUCAUAAACCU